rnacentral:rRNA from 1 species
UACAGAGGGGGCAAGCGUUAUUCGGAAUUAUUGGGCGUAAAGGGCGCGUAGGCGGCCUGACAAGUGGAAGGUGAAAUCCCUCGGCUUAACCGAGGAACUGCCCUCCAAACUGUUUGGCUUGAGACCGGGAGAGGUGAGUGGAAUUCCCAGUGUAGCGGUGAAAUGCGUAGAUAUUGGGAGGAACACCAGUGGCGAAGGCGGCUCACCGGACCGGUACUGACGCUGAGGCGCGAAAGCGUGGGGAGCAAACGGG